GGGCUCGUAGAUCAGCGGUCUGGAGCUCGCCAUCGCGGCGAGCCACGCUAAAGAUCGAUCGCUUGGCGUGCGAUAGGCCGUGGGUUCUGACUUUUCUUUUCUCCCGAGAAAAGAAACCUCAACUAAAGUAACCCUUUUGCUGCUGCAAAAGCGUUAACGGAAAAAUAGGUUGAAGUCGCCUAAAAAUCCCACCGAGUCCA
rnacentral:tRNA from 1 species